GCCAGACUCCUACGGGAGGCAGCAGUGGGGAAUAUUGCACAAUGGGGGAAACCCUGAUGCAGCGACGCCGCGUGAGUGAAGAAGUAUUUCGGUAUGUAAAGCUCUAUCAGCAGGGAAGAAAAUGACGGUACCUGAUUAAGAAGCCCCGGCUAACUAUGUGCCAGCAGCCGCGGUAAUACAUAGGGAGCAAGCGUUAUCCGGAAUUAUUGGGUGUAAAGGGUGCGUAGACGGGAAAUUAAGUUAGUUGUGAAAUCCCGUGGCUUAACUGAGGAACUGCAACUAAAACUGAUUUUCUUGAGUACUGGAGAGGAAAGUGGAAUUCCUAGUGUAGCGGUGAAAUGCGUAGAUAUUAGGAGGAACACCAGUGGCGAAGGCGACUUUCUGGACAGUAACUGACGUUGAGGCACGAAAGUGUGGGGAGCAAACAGGAUUAGAUACCCGAGUAG
rnacentral:rRNA from 1 species